rnacentral:rRNA from 1 species
AACCGGAUUAGAUACCCGGGUAGUCCACGCCGUAAACUAUGGAUACUAGCUGUUGGGGGUAUCGACCCCCCCAGUAGCGAAGCUAACGCGUUAAGUAUCCCGCCUGUGGAGUACGGUCGCAAGACUAAAACAUAAAGGAAUUGACGGGGACCCGCACAAGCGGUGGAUUGUGUUCUUUAAUUCGAUGAUAAACGGAGAACCUUACCAGGGUUUGACAUCCCAAGAAUUUUGCCGAAAGGCGAGAGUGCUUUAUUGAACUUGGUGACAGGUGAUGCAUGGCCGUCGUCAGCUCGUGUCGUGAGAUGUUUGGUUAAGUCCAUCAACGAGCGCAACCCUUGUGAUUAGUUGUAUUUUUCUAAUCAGACUGCCCCGGCAACGGGGAGGAAGGAGGGGAUGAUGUCAGGUCAGUAUUUCCCUUACAUCCUGGGCUAGAAACGCAAUACAAUGGCCAGUACAAUGUGCAGCGAAGCCGCGAGGUGAAGCAAAUCACAUCAAAACUGGUCCCAGUUCAGAUAAGAGGCUGAAACUCGCCUCUUUGAAGUCGGAAUCGCUAGUAAUCGCAGAUCAGCAAGCUGCGGUGAAUACGUUCCCGGGUCUUGUACACACCGCCCGUCAAACCAUGAAAGUGACCAACACCCGAAGUCCGAUUCGUCGGCCUAAGGUGGGGGGCAUGAUUGGGGUUAAGUCGUAACAAGGUAACC